AUCGCUUCUCGGCCUUUUGGCUAAGAUCAAGUGUAGUAUCUGUUCUUAUCAGUUUAAUAUCUGAUACGUCCCCUACCCGGGGACCAUAUAUUAAAUUGAUUUUUGGAACAGGGAGAUGGAAUAGGGGCUUCCUCCGUCCACUCCACGCAUCGACCUGGUAUUGCAGUACCUCCAGGAACGGUGCACCCCCC
rnacentral:snRNA from 1 species